rnacentral:rRNA from 1 species
AAAUUGAAGAGUUUGAUCAUGGCUCAGAUUGAACGCUGGCGGCAGGCCUAACACAUGCAAGUCGAGCGGUAGCACAGAGAGCUUGCUCUCGGGUGACGAGCGGCGGACGGGUGAGUAAUGUCUGGGAAACUGCCUGAUGGAGGGGGAUAACUACUGGAAACGGUAGCUAAUACCGCAUAACGUCGCAAGACCAAAGUGGGGACCUUCGGGCCUCAUGCCAUCAGAUGUGCCCAGAUGGGAUUAGCUAGUAGGUGGGGUAACGGCUCACCUAGGCGACGAUCCUAGCUGGUCUGAGAGGAUGACCAGCCACACUGGAACUGAGACACGGUCCAGACUCCUACGGGAGGCAGCAGUGGGGAAUAUUGCACAAUGGGCGCAAGCCUGAUGCAGCCAUGCCGCGUGUGUGAAGAAGGCCUUCGGGUUGUAAAGCACUUUCAGCGGGGAGGAAGGCGAUAAGGUUAAUAACCUUGUCGAUUGACGUUACCCGCAGAAGAAGCACCGGCUAACUCCGUGCCAGCAGCCGCGGUAAUACGGAGGGUGCAAGCGUUAAUCGGAAUUACUGGGCGUAAAGCGCACGCAGGCGGUCUGUCAAGUCGGAUGUGAAAUCCCCGGGCUCAACCUGGGAACUGCAUUCGAAACUGGCAGGCUAGAGUCUUGUAGAGGGGUAGAAUUCCGUGUAGCGGUGAAAUGCGUAGAGAUCUGGAGGAAUACCGGUGGCGAAGGCGGCUCCCUGGACAAAGACUGACGCUCAGGUGCGAAAGCGUGGGGAGCAAACAGGAUUAGAUACCCUGGUAGUCCACGCCGUAAACGAUGUCGAUUUGGAGGUUGUGCCCUUGAGGCGUGGCUUCCGGAGCUAACGCGUUAAAUCGACCGCCUGGGGAGUACGGCCGCAAGGUUAAAACUCAAAUGAAUUGACGGGGGCCCGCACAAGCGGUGGAGCAUGUGGUUUAAUUCGAUGCAACGCGAAGAACCUUACCUGGUCUUGACAUCCACAGAACUUUCCAGAGAUGGAUUGGUGCCUUCGGGAACUGUGAGACAGGUGCUGCAUGGCUGUCGUCAGCUCGUGUUGUGAAAUGUUGGGUUAAGUCCCGCAACGAGCGCAACCCUUAUCCUUUGUUGCCAGCGGUUAGGCCGGGAACUCAAAGGAGACUGCCAGUGAUAAACUGGAGGAAGGUGGGGAUGACGUCAAGUCAUCAUGGCCCUUACGACCAGGGCUACACACGUGCUACAAUGGCAUAUACAAAGAGAAGCGACCUCGCGAGAGCAAGCGGACCUCAUAAAGUAUGUCGUAGUCCGGAUUGAGUCUGCAACUCGACUCCAUGAAGUCGGAAUCGCUAGUAAUCGUAGAUCAGAAUGCUACGGUGAAUACGUUCCCGGGCCUUGUACACACCGCCCGUCACACCAUGGGAGUGGGUUGCAAAAGAAGUAGGUAGCUUAACCUUCGGGAGGGCGCUUACCACUUUGUGAUUCAUGACUGGGGUGAAGUCGUAACAAGGUAACCGUAGGGGAACCUGCGGUUGGAUCACCUCCUUACCUUAAAGAA